AUUCCAGCUCCAAUAGCGUAUAUUAAAGUUGUUGCGGUUAAAAAGCUCGUAGUUGGAUUUCUGUUGAGGACGGCCGGUCCGCACUAUGUGCGUGUAUCUGGUUCGGCCUUGGCAUCCUCUUGAGGAACGUAUCUGCGCUUGAUUGCGUGGAGCGGUAUUCAAGACUUUUACUUUGAGGAAAUUAGAGUGUUCACGGCAGGCAAGCGCCUUGAAUACGUUAGCAUGGAAUGAUAAUAUAGGAUCUUGGUUCUAUUUUGUUGGUUUCUAGAGCUAAGGUAAUGAUUAAUAGGGAUAAUUGGGGGCAUUUGUAUUAACGCGUCAGAGGUGGAAUUCUUGGAUUGCGUUGCGACAAACUACUGCGAAAGCAUUUGCCAAGGAUGUUUUCAUUG
rnacentral:rRNA from 1 species